rnacentral:rRNA from 1 species
UGGGGAAUCUUCCGCAAUGGACGAAAGUCUGACGGAGCAACGCCGCGUGAGUGAUGACGGCCUUCGGGUUGUAAAGCUCUGUUAAUCGGGACGAAUGGUUCUUGUGCAAAUAGUGCGAGGAUUUGACGGUACCGGAAUAGAAAGCCACGGCUAACUACGUGCCAGCAGCCGCGGUAAUACGUAGGUGGCAAGCGUUGUCCGGAAUUAUUGGGCGUAAAGCGCGCGCAGGCGGAUUGGUCAGUCUGUGUUAAAAGUUCGGGGCUUAACCCAGUGAUGGGAUGGAAACUGCCAAGCUAGAGUAUCGGAGAGGAAAGUGGAAUUCCUAGUGUAGCGGUGAAAUGCGUAGAUAUUAGGAAGAACACCAGUGGCGAAGGCGACUUUCUGGACGAAAACUGACGCUGAGGCGCGAAAGCCAGGGGAGCGAACGGG